GAGUUUGAUCCUGGCUCAGGAUGAACGCUGGCGGCGUGCCUAAUACAUGCAAGUCGAGCGGAAACACUUCGGGUGUCGAGCGGCGGACGGCUGAGUAACGCGUAGGAACGUACCCCAAAGUGAGGAAUAAGCACCGGAAACGGUGUCUAAUGCCGCAUGUGGUCUACGGACUAAAGGAUUUAUCCGCUUUGGGAGCGGCCUGCGUAUGAUUAGUUUGUUGGUGAGGUAACGGCUCACCAAGACGACGAUCAUUAGCUGGUCUGAGAGGAUGAUCAGCCAGACUGGGACUGAGACACGGCCCAGACUCCUACGGGAGGCAGCAGUAGGGAAUUUUCCACAAUGGACGAAAGUCUGAUGGAGCAACGCCGCGUGCAGGAUGAAUGCCUUCGGGUUGUAAACUGCUUUUAUGAGUGAAGAUUAAGACGGUAACUCAAGAAUAAGGGACGGCUAACUACGUGCCAGCAGCCGCGGUCAUACGUAGGUCCCAAGCGUUAUCCGGAAUUACUGGGCGUAAAGAGUUGUGUAGGUGGUUUAUUAAGCAAGGUGUGAAAGCGUGCGGCUCAACCGUAUAUACAUACUUUGAACUGGUAGACUAGAGCGCGAGAGAGGUUAUUGGAAUUUCUAGUGUAGGAGUGAAAUCCGUAGAUAUUAGAAGGAACACCGAUGGCGUAGGCAGAUAACUGGCUCGCUGCUGACACUCAGACACGAAAGCGUGGGUAGCAAACGGGAUUAGAUACCCUGGUAGUC
rnacentral:rRNA from 1 species